AAGCGUUUUUACCUCUGGAAACUGGGGAGUCUGGGGGACAAGAGGAGUCCUUAUUUUCGGGGGACAGUCUUUGCUUAGCGUUUGCACUUCCUGAACUGAGUGACGGGCUGGAGGGGGGACUCGAGCCCCUGCUGUUCGUGGCACCACUGUAGAGGGUCUGUGACCGCGUCGGGCUGCUCUGACCCCCACGCAGGAGCUGGUAGGGCACGGUGGCACGGAUGGGGUGCAAACGGCAGCUGCUGUUGUUGUUGUACGAGCCGGGGGAGCCCGCAUUGCUGCGUCUCACCCUCGGCUGCUGAAGCGAGUUGCUGGGGGCUGACAUCCUCCGAAACAGGCUGUAAUUCCUCUCGCAGUAAGAAAGACGUACCGCCAAAGUUGCUGUUCCUCUAAAAGCGGAGAAGGUGGUGGUGUUGAGGCGGAACGCUUUUGCUCGGCCUUCCCCAUCAUGUCCACUCACUCUAAAUGACAGUUGCUUCGGCCAGACUACUGGCUGAUGCCUGAGGGCGGGCUACGCUCCUUACUUCUAAGCUUUUGAUUGGAUCUUGGCGUUGAACAGAGACGGGUCUUAUUGGUGGAAGUUUUCAUUGGGCUCGUACUUUCAUCCAAUCAGGUCAAGAGUGAAUUUCAGUCUCAACUUUUAAGCCAACAUGCACGAGAAGUCGGUACAAACUGGGCAAACUCCAUGUGCUGAGGAAGAUUGUGACUGAAAGCUCCAGAGCAUAAACUCCAGCAUCUACUACAACCAACUGCUAUUUCCAAGGGAAGAAUUAACUUUCAAUCUAAUAAGGAUAUGUAUAUUACUUGUCUAGUUCUGAGGUCCAAAAUCUAUUGUGUAUCUGUUUUUCACUAGUGUCCAUCUUUCUGCCUGCACUGAUGGUCUGUGAUUUUGUGGGAGUUCCCAUGGGAGAAUAAUGCGUGACUCAAUGCUUUCAAGCAAAGAUAAAGAAUGCACAUGAUAGAAAACCCACGCCAUCUGUGUCCAUAACACAUGAUAAUGUAAAA